rnacentral:tRNA from 1 species
UAGAUGGAGGCCUGAUGGUUUGGGCACCUAGCUGUUAACUAGGAGAUUGUGGGAUCGAGGCCCACCUGUCUAG